GGUGGGUUUGUAAGUCAGAUGUGAAAGCCUCCUGUUCAACGGGAGAAUUGCAUCUGAAACUGUGAAUCUUGAGUGUAGGAGGGGAGAAUGGAACUUCUGGUGGAGCGGUGAAAUGCGUAGAUAUCAGAAGGAACGCCGGCGGCGAAAGCGAUUCUCUGGCCUAUUACUGACACUCAGUGUGCGAGAGCUAGGGGAGCAAACGGGAUUAGAUACCCCGGUAGUCCUAGCCGUAAACGAUGGGCACUAAGUAGAGGGGUUU
rnacentral:rRNA from 1 species